rnacentral:rRNA from 1 species
UAGGGAAUCUUCCGCAAUGGGCGAAAGCCUGACGGAGCAACGCCGCGUGAGUGAUGAAGGUCUUCGGAUCGUAAAACUCUGUUAUUAGGGAAGAACAAAUGUGUAAGUAACUAUGCACGUCUUGACGGUACCUAAUCAGAAAGCCACGGCUAACUACGUGCCAGCAGCCGCGGUAAUACGUAGGUGGCAAGCGUUAUCCGGAAUUAUUGGGCGUAAAGCGCGCGUGGGCGGUUUUUUAAGUCUGAUGUGAAAGCCCACGGCUCAACCGUGGAGGGUCAUUGGAAACUGGAAAACUUGAGUGCAGAAGAGGAAAGUGGAAUUCCAUGUGUAGCGGUGAAAUGCGCAGAGAUAUGGAGGAACACCAGUGGCGAAGGCGACUUUCUGGUCUGUAACUGACGCUGAUGUGCGAAAGCGUGGGGAUCAAACAGG